rnacentral:lncRNA from 1 species
UCUGUCCAGGCUCAGUGGGUCACUGCUGGCUGGGAGGAAACGUGGCCUUAGAUGUUGCCCACUUGGCAGUUUCCACCAUUGUUGACUCACUUAGGCUGAUGGCAGCUGCCUCUGCUGGGAAGGAAGCAUUUUUCCCACAACAUAUUAAAUGCAGCACUAGAGGGUGGCUGGCUGGUCCAGGGGCCAGAUCUGGCUCUGCUGCUCACAGUGAUUCUGUUGGGCAAGCGUUUUUAAAAAGCCUUGGUAAGUUCCAGAUGGUGACCACUUGCCUCAUUUAUGCUUCAUUUGAAAAAAUUCAAAACCAAUUCAUUUGUUUGCAUACCAAGGCAGUACAGAAUCUUCUACAGUGGCACUUCAAUGCUUAGAAGCUCACCCAUGGGCGAGUGAGCCGCAUGUGAAACUGCUUUCCUGUUGGAAGAGUGCUCCACUACACCGGUGACAUCAUCCUGUGUGUGUUCCUGCUCUGAGGACUUAAAGGUAAAAUGAUUUAAUUAGGUGAUAGUAUUACCUGGUAUUUGUUUGAGCUGAGUGGAUUAUAGGCUCUUACUCUUCUAGCUAGUCUAAAUUUUAUUCUUGAACCAAACAAGCAGGUAUUUAGACUGCAUUGUUUUAGUUCAUAGUUGACUCGUUUCUAUCAAAUGGUGCUUUGGUGUCAUGUCAUUGGUAUAAAUUGAUUGAUCUUAAAAGACAUAUUGGCAAACUAUCUUUGCACUUAUUAUAGAGAUAUUUUUGGGACAUGGUUAAAUAAAUUCU